CUUUCAACAACGGAUAUCUUGGUUCUCGCAACGAUGAAGAGCGCAUUGAAUGCGAUACGUAAUGUGAAUUGCAGGCUUAGUGAAUCAUCAAAUUCUUGAACGCAAAUGGCACUCGUCGGCUUUUACGGCUGACGAGUAUGUCUGCUUGAGUGUCAC
rnacentral:rRNA from 1 species